CCUACGGGUGGCAGCAGUAGGGAAUAUUGCUCAAUGGGGGAAACCCUGAAGCAGCAACGCCGCGUGGAGGAUGAAGGUUUUAGGAUUGUAAACUCCUUUUGUUAGAGAAGAUUAUGACGGUAUCUAACGAAUAAGCACCGGCUAACUCCGUGCCAGCAGCCGCGGUAAUACGGAGGGUGCCAGCGUUACUCGGAAUCACUGGGCGUAAAGCGUGCGUAGGCGGGGUAAUAAGUCAGAUGUGAAAUCCUGUGGCUUAACUACAGAACUGCAUUUGAAACUGUUACUCUGGAGUGUGGGAGAGGUAGGUGGAAUGCUUGGUGUAGGGGUGAAAUCCGUAGAGAUCAAGAGGAAUACUCAUUGCGAAGGCGACCUGCUGGAACAUUACUGACGCUGAUGCACGAAAGCGUGGGGAGCAAACAGGAUUAGAUACCCGAGUAGUC
rnacentral:rRNA from 1 species